UAUCAGGAAAACACCAUGGGAAAAGCUGCAUCAAGAAAAAAAGGAAGUUUCUCAGCACUCCGAUGCUCAUCCCUAGACCCUAAAAAUCUCUAUAAAAAGCCACGCUGUCUUCGCUUCAUCACACAAUCUCCAUCGUCACUCUCAACAAAGUAGCAGGAGAUGAUGCGAGCACCACCAAGACAUCAACACUGUUCAUUGCAUCGCUUCUUUGCCUUGCUACUCUCAGAGGUUGCUGAUGGCUCAUGCAGCACCAGCCCCAGGCCCCCCAGUUGCAGAUGAAUGCCCGAAGAAGUGUGCAUAUAGAUGCAGC